GACGAACGCUGGCGGCGUGCUUAACACAUGCAAGUCGAACGAAGAGCGAUGGAAGCUUGCUUCUAUCACUCUUAGUGGCGCACGGGUGAGUAACGCGUAAUCAACCUGCCCUUCAGAGGGGGACAACAGUUGGAAACGACUGCUAAUACCGCAUACGAUCUAAUCUCGGCAUCGAGGAUAGAUGAAAGGUGGCCUCUACAUGUAAGCUAUCACUGAAGGUGGGGAUUGCGUCUGAUUAGCUAGUGGGAGGGGUAACGGCCCACCAAGGCGAAGAUCAGUAGCCGGUCUGGGAGGAUGGACGGCCACAAUGGGACUGGGACACGGCCCAGGCUCCUACGGGAGGCAGCAGGGGGGAAACAUCCGCAAUGGACGAAAGGCUGACGGAGCAACGCCGCGUGGGGGAUGACGGCCUUCGGGUUGUAAAGCUCUGUUAAUCGGGACGAAAGGCCAUCUUGCGAAUAGUGAGAAGGAUUGACGGUACCGGAAUAGAAAGCCACGGCUAACUACGUG
rnacentral:rRNA from 1 species